GACGAACGCUGUCGGCGUGCUUAACACAUGCGAGUCGAACGGAAAGGCCCUGCUUUUGUGGGGUGUUCGAGUGGCGAACGGGUGAGUAACACGUGAGUAACCUGCCCUUGACUUUGGGAUAACUUCAGGAAACUGGGGCUAAUACCGGAUAGGCGCUCCUGCUGCAUGGUGUGGGUUGGAAAGUUUCGGCGGUUGGGGAUGGACUCGCGGCUUAUCAGCUUGUUGGUGGGGUAGUGGCUUACCAAGGCUUUGACGGGUAGCCGGCCUGAGAGGGUGACCGGCCACAUUGGGACUGAGAUACGGCCCAGACUCCUACGGGAGGCAGCAGUGGGGAAUAUUGCACAAUGGGCGGAAGCCUGAUGCAGCAACGCCGCGUGCGGGAUGACGGCCUUCGGGUUGUAAACCGCUUUCGCCUGUGACGAAGCGUGAGUGACGGUAAUGGGUAAAGAAGCAACGGCUAACUACGUG
rnacentral:rRNA from 1 species